rnacentral:rRNA from 1 species
AGAGUUUGAUCCUGGCUCAGGACGAACGCUGGCGGCGUGCUUAACACAUGCAAGUCGAACGAUGAACCACUUCGGUGGGGAUUAGUGGCGAACGGGUGAGUAACACGUGGGCAAUCUGCCCUUCACUCUGGGACAAGCCCUGGAAACGGGGUCUAAUACCGGAUACGACCACUACGGGCAUCCGUGGUGGUGGAAAGCUCCGGCGGUGAAGGAUGAGCCCGCGGCCUAUCAGUCUUGUUGGUGAGGUAAUGGCUCACCAAGGCGACGACGGGUAGCUCGGCCUGAGAGGGCGACCGGCCACACUGGGACUGAGACACGGCCCAGACUCCUACGGGAGGCAGCAGUGGGGAAUAUUGCACAAUGGGCGAAAGCCUGAUGCAGCGACGCCGCGUGAGGGAUGACGGCCUUCGGGUUGUAAACCUCUUUCAGCAGGGAAGAAGCGAAAGUGACGGUACCUGCAGAAGAAGCGCCGGCUUAACUACGUGCCAGCAGCCGCGGUAAUACGUAGGGCGCAAGCGUUGUCCGGAAUUAUUGGGCGUAAAGAGCUCGUAGGCGGCUUGUCACGUCGAUUGUGAAAGCCCGAGGCUUAACCUCGGGUCUGCAGUCGAUACGGGCUAGCUAGAGUGUGGUAGGGGAGAUCGGAAUUCCUGGUGUAGCGGUGAAAUGCGCAGAUAUCAGGAGGAACACCGGUGGCGAAGGCGGAUCUCUGGGCCAUUACUGACGCUGAGGAGCGAAAGCGUGGGGAGCGAACAGGAUUAGAUACCCUGGUAGUCCACGCCGUAAACGGUGGGAACUAGGUGUUGGCGACAUUCCACGUCGUCGGUGCCGCAGCUAACGCAUUAAGUUCCCCGCCUGGGGAGUACGGCCGCAAGGCUAAAACUCAAAGGAAUUGACGGGGGCCCGCACAAGCGGCGGAGCAUGUGGCUUAAUUCGACGCAACGCGAAGAACCUUACCAAGGCUUGACAUACACCGGAAAGCAUUAGAGAUAGUGCCCCCCUUGUGGUCGGUGUACAGGUGGUGCAUGGCUGUCGUCAGCUCGUGUCGUGAGAUGUUGGGUUAAGUCCCGCAACGAGCGCAACCCUUGUUCUGUGUUGCCAGCAUGCCCUUCGGGGUGAUGGGGACUCACAGGAGACCGCCGGGGUCAACUCGGAGGAAGGUGGGGACGACGUCAAGUCAUCAUGCCCCUUAUGUCUUGGGCUGCACACGUGCUACAAUGGCCGGUACAAUGAGCUGCGAUACCGUGAGGUGGAGCGAAUCUCAAAAAGCCGGUCUCAGUUCGGAUUGGGGUCUGCAACUCGACCCCAUGAAGUCGGAGUCGCUAGUAAUCGCAGAUCAGCAUUGCUGCGGUGAAUACGUUCCCGGGCCUUGUACACACCGCCCGUCACGUCACGAAAGUCGGUAACACCCGAAGCCGGUGGCCCAACCCCUUGUGGGAGGGAGCUGUCGAAGGUGGGACUGGCGAUUGGGACGAAGUC